CGAACGGAGAGAUUCAUCGUCAGCGAACGCCGGCUUCUCGUCGGUCAGCAAUGUCCCGCGCGGUGCCCUCGCGGCUCUCAGCGCGGGCACGCUGCCGUGCGCCGAUGUGUCCGAUUUCGUCGUCGUGCACUUCUUCCCUAAAAGAACGUCGCGACCCGCUGGUCUACGGCCAGGGUGCGGUGGCUGACGCGCCGCCGGUAAAACAGUGAGCGUUAAACCCUCAAUCGCCCGGCCGGCUGCCCAGUGGUACGCGCAAGGUAUUAGGCCGCACAUACGGUACGUCGAGACCGUCGCAAGCGCGCGCCACGGUACACGGAGAUACGGACCUAGCACCGUCACCUGUCUUGGCCCGCUGUUGGUCGUACGGUUAACCUUCGACAAGCCUGCGAACGUCUCAUCGGUAGAUUGUCCCGCCAGUGGUGACCGAUAUCGGUCGGUAACGCUACUGCUUUGGGUACUCUUAGGACCCGUCUUGAAACA
rnacentral:rRNA from 1 species